CCGAGAGCAAGCGCAGCCAAUGGGCAGGGGCGGCGGGCGCCGCUGGCCGGGGAGGCGUGCGGCCGCUGGGGCGUGGCGCCGUGGGCAUGGUGCUCCUUUUGCUCCCGCGGGCCGCGGGUCAGAUGCGGCGCUGGGAGGGGAGCCUGGCUCCUCAGUCCCGUGCGUCCGUCUUCCCUGGGGUCUUGGGCGAGUGUGGCGGCCCCAGUGGCGCGUUCUGCGAGGCUAACCAGGCUAAGGCUGGCUUCCCGCCGCCGCGGUCUGGCGUCUGGCAGCUCCCGCGCGCUGGGCUGGCUCCUCUGGGCGGUGAGCAGAACGUAGUCACACGCCGUUCGGUACAGUAAAAGCCACCUACUCUCCAAAUUAAUGCCUUCCUUCUCACCUACCAGCGCUUCAUUUCCCUGGAAGCUGCCAGAGAAACAUCCUUUGAAAUUCAAAUAACCAGCUUCCCACCUCUGGGCACCAAAUGACUCCUUCAAAGCCCUCCUGCCUGUUUGACGGGCUCUGCUAACUCCUGCAGUUUACCUGCACCAGUGCCAAUUUGGUUUUCCUCUAAUUAAGAAACGCAGCACCUCUGCUGACCAGUACCACCGACCAGCUGCUAAACCUUCCCACAGCUCGGAAUGCUCAAGCAAGGGAGAUCUUGAGGAGGACGUGGGGCACGGGGCAAAUGUUUCUCAAAGCUACCUGUGAUGCAGCUUUUUUGCCUCAGAUCAUGUCUCUGCAGAGAACCACCCCACAUGGGUCAAAUCCAGAGGUUACAGUGACCUUGCUGUGACCCUGCCAAAGCCCUUAGCACAUUUUUCACAGUGUCAACCCCUGCAUAGGGCUGGUGCUGCUGCCAUAACUACCAUCCUGG